rnacentral:tRNA from 1 species
UCGUUCUAUGGCCGAAUUGGUAAAGGCAUCGCCGAUCACAGGCGGGGAUGCGGGUUCGAGUCCCGCAAAACGAA